rnacentral:lncRNA from 1 species
UGCAACCAAAGAGGAAGAAGGUUCUGGUGGACUACCUGCUACGGUUUGCUUCAGCUCGUGCGGUUAGGAGGUGGAUGCCCGCACGGAUCCGGUGUCUCCGACCUUGGCAUCCACAAGGAGGAGCGGCGACAAUUACAUACCCAACCAUGGGGCAGCAGCAAUUCAUGGUUGAGCCUCCCUCUACCUCUCUCAUGUUCCCUGAUUUUGCUGCUGCUCUAAAUUCACUUUCACUUGACUGAAUCUAGUGCUACUGCUGUCAGUCCCUAGUCCGUAGUGCUACUGCUCUAAAUUCACUUGCAUGUUUGACUAAAUUCACUUGGUAUUGCACUGCUUGCCAAAUUGAGUUGCUUUCUCGCUGCCAGAAAAAGUCAGUACUCCCUAGUGUUGAAGCAAUAUUUACAUGCUUGCAAAUAUUGGUCUGAAUCUACGAUGCUCCCUAAAUUUGACUAAAUCUCAUGGAGUAGAUUUCAUUUUACCAAUUGGUCUGAAUCUAUUUAUACGCUUUACUGAAUUUUGCUUGGUGCUGUCGCCGUCGGACUCUCAUGCUGAAUCAGUUGGACAAUGCAUUCUUUGCCAGUUCAUUUUACCAAUUCAUGCUGAAUUGUUGUUUAGUUGUAAUUCCUUUUAGUGUGCCAUGCACAAGUGAUAUUCAUGUCCAGCCAAAUGAUAUCUUGUGCUUUCCAAAGUGAUAUGUACCCAACUGCUUAUAUACGUAUUAUGUUCUUAACUGUAGAUUUCCUCUCACAGUAGCUCCAUGCAAAAGAAGGUUGAAAGGAGAAGGAGAGUUUGUGACUGCUAUGGAAGGACUGAAGGAGGUCCAUGUUGAAGAAGGUCGACAGAAGCAGUAGAGCUUGUAAUACUGUCAUUGCCAUUGUAUUUGUGUUGUAUGAUGUAUCCGCGUUUACCCACAAAAAAAUGUAUUCACGUUGUAAUACUGUGAUUGCCAUUCUGGCUAAUAUUUCAAGCAGUGUAUUUUGCCAGUGCUGAUUUAGAUAUUUGUUACUUAUUUACUAUGAAAUGAAAUCUAAAGAACUUUACCCUGACAACCGGGUCCUAUUACUAGAAACUGACAAGUGGGACCAAUCUUCUGAGAAAAAGAAAAACUGAAACUCUUGGGACAAAUGUAAAACAGUGGAAAAUAAAAUGGCAAAAAAAUAAAAGAUCAUACGCUGUAAAUGGUCGCAUCUAGAAAUAAAAAGGCCGUAUUGCUGGGCCAACCCAUGUAGCUAGCAAAAAUUAAUAGAAAAAAUAAAUAUUAAAAAGGCCGAAUUAAUGGGCUCGGGCCAUAUAAACACCGAUUUGGACCGGGCUGAUUCUUGUGCCACAUCAGAUUGCCACGUCGGAUGCCUACGUGGCCUGGGGAGGCUGCUAGUGACCAAAACAAAAUAGUAGGCAUAUUUUGGUCGUAAACGUCUACGACCUUCUCACAGAGAAGGUCGUUAAUUUCAGUUUACGACUGCCAGCUUUUGACCAUCUGUUUUUGGUCACAAAAAGACCAUAAAUGGAAAAUAAUGACCAUUCAGUGACCAAUAGUCAAGGUUACAAGUUGACAUAUUUCUUGUAGUGUCUCUUUAGUUAUUUUUUCUUUCUCUCUCUUCAUCUCCACCAAUCACACGCAAGUGACCGAGCAUAUAAGGAAGAAAAUGAGAAGUGUAGUUGCGUGGACUGACAAAUAAGGGCUCAAAACGGACACACCCGGUCAUUGACCGGGCGCUUCUGCGGGCGUCUGAGAGGUCAAAUUUGUACGGUCCGGCUGCAGAUGUUCUUGAAUCACCAAUGGCUUUAUCCAGUCAACUCAUCACGUCGCGCCCCAAUUGAAAUAGGUAAAAAAAUUCUACUCUUAGUAGGAAAUGAACCAACGGCCUCUAGUAAUUAUUCCAGCGAGCACCAGUCGAACUAGCUCCCUUUUUUGAUAUACAAACAAGGUACAUUCUUGGACUAGGGGUGGGGGGAGGAGCUUGUUUGAAAACAUAUAUGUCGGUGUCAAAACUGGCGGAUUUCGGGUAGGGGGUCCCGAACUGUGCGUCUAGGCGGAUGGUAACAGGAGAAAAGGGACACGAUGUUUUUACCCAGGUUCGGGCCCUCUCGAUGGAGGUAAAACCCUACUCCUGCUUGAUUAAUAUUGAUGAUAUGGGUAGUACAAGAGUAGAUCUACCACGAGAUCAGAGAGGCUAAACCCUAGAAGCUAGCCUAUGGUAUGAUUGUUGUUCGUCCUACGGACUAAAACUCUCCGGUUUAUAUAGACACCGGAGAAGGCUAGGGUUACACAGAGUCGGCUACAAUGGGAGGAAAUCUUUAUAUCGUAUCGCCAAGCUUGCCUUCCACGCCAAAGAAAGUCUCAUCCGGACACGGGACAUAGUCUUCAAUCUUGUAUCUUCAUAGUCCGGGAGUCCGGCCAAAUGUCAUAGUCCGGCCAUCCGGACACCCCCUAAUCCAGGACUCCCUCAAUAUCCCCCUCCCCUCGCGAUAACUUUCAUGUAAAUAGCACAAUAAUAUGUGCACUGUAGACUUGAUAACUCAUGUAUAAACACCGUGAUAACUUUGACCAUAGGGAAGAAAGUUGUUUGAACAUACCCUCGAUAAAUUAUGUAUAGAUAGCAUGAUAACAUAUGGAUCAUAGGCGUGGUAACUCACACACAAACACCGUGAUAACUUUGUCCCAAAAAAAGUUGUUCAGAAUGUACCACGGCAACUCAUGAGUAAAUAGCAUGAUAAUAUAUACACAUAUCAGAGCAGAUAACUUACUUAACCCAUGCCUAGUAAUUAUUUACGAAAAGAAAAGUCGUCAAAACUUAUCAACAUGGGAUCUAAUUUCGUAGGUAUCGUUGCAACAGAUUUUUUUUUUGAAAAUGAUUUUUCUAUGGGAUUGAUGGUUUGAGCUAUAAAAUAUUUUGAAGUUUCAAGAUAUAUGAGAAUCUAAGAUGACAUCAAAUGUUACCUUUAAUGCAUGCACACAUGCCCAUAUGAAGAGAAGAUAGGUGGAACAAUUUUUAUGCCCCAGUAGUUUCUGUGUAAUCAACAUGAUAACCUAUGCUCAACUAGCAUGUAACUAUAAAAAAAACUAGCAUGAUAACUUGUGUAAUACACGCGUGGUAAAUUUUUACUCAAAGAAGGCGUCGGAAUGUAUCAAUAUGGGAUCUAAUUUAAAGAUCUCGUCGCGAACAAUCUUUUAUGUAAAAAUAGUUUUUGUAUCAAACGAUUUGAGCUACAUAACAUUUUGAAGUCUUGAAAUACAAGAGAAUCUAAAGAGAUGUCAUCAGUUUCGCCUUACAUGCGUGCAUGUAAUUAGGCUUUCUAAUAAGUGUCAUGUGCACGUACAUGAGAAAGAGAUGCACUAAUAAUCACACGUAUGUGAAGAAAAUCCGAUUGCAUGCACUCAUGGAGCUACGAAUGGUCGCUCGGUUUUGUAGGUUAAAUCCCGAGCGGUAGGACGCUAGCACAAUCCUUAUGUAUUCGUGGCAUUUUUAGCUACUUUAAAACCAGUCUCUAAGGGAUGGUCGCAUUGGGGUGGGCAUGCUUUCAGGUUUUAGCAGAGUAUAUGUCUCUUCUGUUUGGACUAGCAAAAGUUUGACGCCGACACUAUGUUUUGUUGAAGAAAGCCUUGUGUGAUGUGUGUUGUGUUUGCCUUACUAUCAACAGGGACGUCAUCUCCACUAGAAGAGUCACACAAAACAUGGAGUCAAAUAUGGGUCAAAUCUCCACCCCCUUCCCUCGGGGGCUGAUUCCAGAUUUCAUAUUCAUAGCAGCGUCAAGCAAAACUAAUAGUCACUUAUUGUCCGUCUAAAUAUUGGUUGUGGAGUGCCAUUCAGUUUCCACGAUGAACACCGCAGCAAAGGUUAUCAAUAAUAAAAAAUCUUGGUUGUGGUAAGGUCGAGUUUAAUGGAGUGGGGAGGGGAGGGGAGGGGAGGAGGCAUGGUCAGCGCCAUUUGCAAUGGUGGAGGAGGACGCUUCAAGCUCUAGUGAGGUUGGGGCAUUGGUUUGUGUCAUUGAUCGUGUGCAUGGUGCGUCAAUGAUUGAGGUGAUAGAUUUUGAAAUGCAAUUAACAUGUCUAGAUUGCAUCAAGUCCAAAUGGAUUAUCUCAUCAACCUGUCAUAUAGUUACAUAUGAUGAUCAAUUGUCAAACUUUAUAAAAUUUGAGUAAGUUUGUAGAGAAAUUUUAUUUACAUCUAGAGUACAAAAUCCAUAUCAUUAGACGAUACACCCUGACACGUAUUUUUAUAUUACUAAAGUUUGACUUUUAGAAAAAUUUAAGGGCACUACAUUGCAUAUGAAACUAAGGGAGUAAUAAGUGAGUGAUAAACUUGAGAAAGAUUAUAGGGAGAUUAUAUAUUAUAAUUUAAAUUCUGAGGGGUCCGCCUUGCACGCUAAGAUUAGACUUUCUCAAGUUGCGUUUUUUUUCCAAUGACGUUCCGAUAGAUGUGAACAAGGUGGCCUUGUGCGGCCGGCGAUUGAUUGAGCUAGCUUGGCUGCCACGAUUACCAUGCAUAGCAAGCAUUCUUUCUUCCUUUCUUCACCUCCAUAGAUAUAGCUUCCCCCCAUAUCCAUUUAGCCUCCCGCACAAAGAUCCCUAAACCUUUCCUCACACAUGACUCCAUGAAUGUAGCAUCACGUCCUCUUUACACGUGAACGUACGCCUGAUUAAUUCCAACCAAAGGUUUGCUCGUUUUGCAAGUUUUGAAUCAACCAUACAUUCCAUUUCCAUCCAUCACCAUGCCAUGCCAAGUACCUAAAUACUAAGAAUACUAGGACCGUAAGGUAUUCAUUUUUCUGGUUUUUUUGAAUUUUUUUUACCACGGUUGUUGGGGCGACGCGUGUCCAACAGCUUUUCUGGGUGUAGUAAAAAAAAUAUUGGUUGGUUGGUUUUAGCAUGUUUGAUUUGACGUGGUGGCUGCCAGAGUCACAUGACCUUGGCUAUUGACGCGUGUGCAGGAGAUUCUGCCAGAGAGUUCCUCUAUAUUUUUCUACUUGUCUUUUGAUAUUACGUGGCAGUUGCCGAUUUACAUGGGUGGAUCAAGACGUCUAUAGUUGUCUCUCUGGACCUCUCGAGAGGCAUCCCAUCAAAACCUCUUCGCCGCUGUAGACGACUAUAAAAUGGCCCCGUGCAUCUCCCAGCAGAUCGCGGCUCCCACAACCAUCCUUCCCGUUCUCUCUGCCAGGCCCGACUGCCGGCAUCCAAAUCCUCUCCGAGCAACGGCUUCCCAUCUUCCCUCCCCGGGCCGAGGUGGUGGUGCACCCAGCCAUCGCACCUCCUUCCGCUUCAGUUGCAACCCNNNNNNNNNNNNNNNNNNNNNNNNNNNNNNNNNNNNNNNNNNNNNNNNNNNNNNNNNNNNNNNNNNNNNNNNNNNNNNNNNNNNNNNNNNNNNNNNNNNNNNNNNNNNNNNNNNNNNNNNNNNNNNNNNNNNNNNNNNNNNNNNNNNNNNNNNNNNNNNNNNNNNNNNNNNNNNNNNNNNNNNNNNNNNNNNNNNNNNNNNNNNNNNNNNNNNNNNNNNNNNNNNNNNNNNNNNNNNNNNNNNNNNNNNNNNNNNNNNNNNNNNNNNNNNNCCCCUCUUCACAUACACCCUGUCCUAGCCGGCUGCACAAGGGAGGCGUCCGAGCACCUCGCAGAGGAAGACGAGGCGGGCGACUACCAGGACAGCCAACCCACGGUGGUGGAUGGCGGAGAGGGACUAUGGUGACGCCGCUCGGCGAAGAGGUCGCGAUGGGAGGAGCGUUUGUGGUGGUCGGUCGCGGACGGCAUGGUCAUAGAACGACGACUGGGAGGAGACGACCGCGUCAAGUUGGUGCUCGCCAGCAUUCUCACCGAUGGGUUGCCGUCCCAUCCAUCACCACGCAAGAGCGGUCCGCUGCGCCCGUGAAGCCAAGACUGAGAGCGUGCAGCGCCUUCCGGGGCAUAUCCCGGCGAGCGCCGCCCCAGCAAGCUGCAUCACCACCAAGCAUCCCUCGUGCCCCGAGUGACGACGUUUCACCUGAUGUUUCUUCCCACGGCAGCGCAGAAGGGAACCGACGCGUCGUCUGCCAGUACGAGCGAGCGAGAGGAUGAUGCUGAGUUGCUGACGGAUCUGCUCCUCUUUUUUCCGGCGUUGCUCUCAGUUUGGUCCUAGGCGGUGCCCUUCCGCCUUCCUCGGCAAGCCUGCAGCGCCAGGCCGCUAGCUUCCAACUUGGCGGCGGCGGUGGACGAGCCCACGGCCUGCUGUCCUCCGGAGGCGAGCCAACAGCGAGCUGCUGCAGUGUUUCGCCCCUCCUUUCCCCACGAGCUCUCGACUCCUCCUCUGUCACUCACGCGGCAAGCAGCGAGCUAGCAACUCUAAGGCGGUAGCUCUCCAGUUGGUCGUCACUUUGUUGGCAGCAGCAACACCACUAAGGUAUGCUCCUCUUUUUGUUCUUUUUGACAUCCACUGUUCAAAUCUACUACACACGCCAUAAUUAUUACCAGCUUAGAUGAUAGUUUGUAUUUUCUAGACUUCUAUUUUUACUGAUCUAAGGGAAAAAACAUGUGGGAUUUUUUUUUUGCUCUUUGUUGUGAUAUGUCGUUGCAGAAAGGUUUUAUUUUACAAGGAGAUGAACUGUCAUUGCUUAAAAGUUCAGAUCAGAAGGUGGGUGCAUAUAGUACAGAAAUUUGUAUAUCUAACUGAUUAUUAGUCUAAACGGAAGGUUUACCACGUAUGUGUGCAAGUCUGUGGGGAGGACAUGGAUUUUGAGAUCCAGCUCCUGCCUGCACGUGCAAGAAAUUCAUGACCUACAUCUCUAAUAUAGCAUGGUAAAUCGUUUUUAUUCUUGAUCUAUCCAUUCGUUGUGUUCCAUUUCCUGGUAGGAAUUCUGGUUUAAUUUCACAUGCUGUUCAAACACAUAAGCACUUGAUGUGCAUUACUGACGUACUGGGGAAAUGCUACAGCUUGAUGUCUAUGUACAUUUAGAACUUUAGUUCCGACGACAUGUGUCUUGUGGAGUAUAUUGGCUUCCUGUACAACUUUACGUGCAGUGCAAUUUGGCAAAACAGAUGAGAAAUUCCUUCUUAUUCCAGAACCACUUAAAUUUCACCCAUACCUAUUUCCCCAUUUGAUAUUUGUAGGAGAUAUUGGCACAAUGACUAUGUUUUUAGCAGUAUUGUUGUAUUUUCUUUUGCAGGAAAUGCUUUAGGAAUUGGACUGUAGCAGUUUGGUCUCUUGAGCUCAUAAGAUCCGUUCUUACCAACAGAGCUGCUUACAAACGUACCGGUCAUUAAUUACCAACUAAUGGUUGCAUAAUCUGACUGCUUCCUCUCCUAUGGAUCAUGCUUACAAUUGAGUAUCCACUGAUUCCUAAAUGCUUGACCUGGCUAUACAUCUCCUUUGUAAAUUAUUCUAGCCCCUGAUUAUCAAUUAGGCAAAUUUUAACAUGCUCCCUUUUACCCCAGCUUUUUACAUGUCAGGCAAGAAUGUCAGGUAAGAAGGUAAGAGUUAAUUAGACCACCUACUAAAGAGAUCAAUGAGUCAGAUCUAUUAUAUGCUCUUACCUCUCAUGUGAAAAAUGAGAUAAGAGGGAGCAUGUUACAACUGCUCAACUACCAACUAACAGCUGCAUAACAGGACUUUGCUUUCUCCCUUGUUAAUCAUGCUUCCAAUUCAGUGCCUACUGAUUCACAUUGUCUAAUAUGCAUGUACCUUUUUUUGUUUAUAAUAAUCAUGCUCUGGUUAAAUAGUAACAGAGCAUAGACCAACAUUUCCUAUAAGAUUCUCCAAACAAAAUAUAUAUUAGAGAGCUACUCAGCGCCUACCUUUUCAAUACCAAUUACUGCCAGUAAAUAACCCUAUUGUGGAUAUUUGGGUAACUUCAGAAUUAUUAUUUUCUUUGCUUUCUUGCACUCGUGGAAAAAACGACCACACUCUACACAACUUCUGGGAGCCAAGGUCGUUUUAGCUUUUUCUCAUCUAUAUCUAAAGGUUGCGUAUUAUGUGGAAUUUCCUACAAUCUUCUCAUGUUUUUUUGUUCAGUACUCCAUUGCUGCUCUAGCAAUUAGUUUGUACAAUUCCUUUUCUAAAUGGGAGUACUUACAAAUCUAAGCGAACUUGUGCCUUCUCCAUGUCAUUUAUUGUAUUUUAUUUUGGACGGUUGCUAAUUAUAUACUCUAUCUAUUUUCUUUUUUUUUUCUAUAAUUUCAUACUUGAUUGUUUUCUUGAGGCCACAAGGCAUUUUCUGUGUUUCUAAGGUUCUAAUGGCCUGAGAUUUAAGUAUAGAGUGGCAUGUCCUGCGUCAUCAGUAUAAAACUUAGGCCCCUGGAACUUCCCAUUUCUAGCAUCAUUGCUAUCCUACAUAAAGCUGACAAUUUUAUCAUGAGAUUUUCCUUGGUCCUUAGAUUGUGUGGUCUGGUCACAUGAAUUUCUACAGAUUUCAAUCCUGAUAUUAAAGCAACUCAAAUGUUUGCAUACAUCCUGCUGAUCGGACAUCAUCCGUGCUAAUGACUUCUCUAAAAGGACAGUUGAUUGUUCCACGAAGCCGACCUGUUAUGGAUUUGGCGCAUUGUAUAUCAUCAUGCUAAUGAAUUCUCUGAAAAGAUUGUUGCAGGAAGCUGUGUUAAAGUUGUACAUGUGGUCUUCUUGAGUGUUUCCCAGUAUAUAUGUAGUAUGAAAACUGACCGAUAGUGAUUAGAUAAAUAUGUCAGUUACUUUGAAUAUUGCUACUGGGGUCUUGAAACAGCCUUAUUGUUGGCAUCAUCUUCUGUUUGUUAGUGAAGAACAAUCUUUUUUUAGCUAACCUCAGGUCUAAGAAGAGAACCAGAGCUUUGCAAUUCUGUAUCCAGUAGCCACUAUCACCACAUAAUGUAGAUCGCUUAUGCAUAUCCACCUAGACUAAAUGCACCCUUUUCCCACCUACUGUAGAUCACUUAUGCAUAUACCAAUAAGACUAGAUGUACCCUUUUCUUAUAUGAACUACUUUGUAGUGAAUUAAGCCUUGAGACGACUUACCAAAAAUUACAAAAAAAACAAAUAACUUACCAAUCCAUGUGGCGCGGCGUGCCGCCGCACACUACACACUAGUAUAUACACGAUGCAUCAUGCCAACCUUCCCAUCUCAUCUCACCUAGCUCUCUCGAUCACAAUUCACAACCACCAUCAACCAGCCAAUCCAUCCAUCACCGUGUCCACCACGAGUCCCUGCCUACGCUUCCUCAUGGCGGCCGCCACCAACACCAAGCAGCAGCAGCAGCCGGCACCGAAGCCGGAGUUUGCCAACGGCGAGAAAGCCAAAGCGCUGGUCGACCAGGAGAACCUGGCAGCGGGAGUGAUACGGGGCACCGAGGAAGUGAAAGCCAAAGCAGAAGCCACUGCCACGGAAGCCAAAGCUGUGCUGGAGAAGAAGGCCACGGCGUGCAGUGGCUGGAAAGAGCGCGUGGCAGGGGCCUGGAGCAGCUGACGGACAUGAAAUGGGCGGACAGCGUGGUGGAGAAGGCAAGGAACAACAAGGAGGUGGUCGCCAUCGCCAUCGCUGCUUUCUCGCUUGGCUUCUUCGUCUCUCACAAGUUAUUCAAGAAGUGAGCAUCACACAUACGAACAAUGGAUAAAUAUGGAGUCAUUUUAAAGUGCAUCCGGACGAUAUGGACCGUCCGUCGGAUCGAAUACGACGGUCCAGAUCCGAUGCAAUACACUGAUGUCACGUGUAUUAUACCAGACCCCGAGGGACAUUUUCGGGAGAAAAAAUAUUUCGUAUUGAUAUGAUUUUCCCUCUCAAAUAUUUCAAGGGUAUUCUCGGUACGAAUUUCAGGGCUUUUUUCGGUUCGAUUUUUAUCCCGUUCGCUAGGGUUUAUUCCUCGCCGCCGCUAGGGUUUUAAUCCUCGCCGGCAUGAUCUAGCCGCUCGUCGCGGCCCCUCCUUGCCUCGUCGCUGGCAGGAUCUAGCCGCGCGUCGCGGCCCCUCCCUCCCUCAUCGCCGACAGGAUCUAGCCGCGCGUCGCGGUCCCUCCCUCCCUCCACCCCAAUUCCCUCGCGAUCUCGCACCACCUUUUCAACAAACACUAGAGAAGGCCCACUGCCCUCCACGCGGCGGCCGCCGGCGAAGAGUCGGCGCCAUCCCACCUCCCAGUCCUCCAUGCGGGUCCUCCAAUUGGUUGAUAAUUUGCGCCCUCUACAUAUCAUUUCUCAGCCAUGGCUACAACUUUGAUCUGGCCAUGCAUCUCGUCCGAUGGCAAGGUGGUUGGGUAUGGAUCAUGUUCUGGGGGACUAGAUGAAGCCGGCCGCCGGCCUCGACGGCCAGCCCCAUUCAUCCAGCCCCGACUGCAUGAUCUACGAACGUUCAAUCAUUGCAUUCAACAUGUAUUUUUUCAAUUUGGCUGAUAUGUGAGAUUUGGAGAUCAAUAGAGAUGAUAAGCUAUUAAUUUUAGAAUGUACUAUAAACAAUUCAUAGCUUAUGUUGCUCAAUAUUUAUGAUGCUCGCUUCUUCUUGUGCAAUUACUGGACUAGGAUCAACAGACUUGGCAUGUGCUUUAUAUGAAAAAUUAGAUUCACAUGGGAUAUCCACCUUUUCAAGAUUGCUGUUAAUUCUUAUUAUGAUGUUUUAGCCUUGUUAAAGGGAGAGUAAUGGUCCUCGCAAAAAUCAGAGACAAAGGAAUGAGCAUUUCAUUCUUCCAUAUGUUGCAUUUCGUUCUUCCGUGUUUAGUUAUGUCCAACAUUUGUUACAUGCACACACUUGACAAGGUUAGUACAAGUAGUAAUUUUUCCUCUGUUUUGCAGGGCUAUGACAGAACAUGCUAUGUGAUUCCCUGAGGCAGGAUGGAUGUACCAUGGCCACAUCACUGUGCUCCUGAAGGUGAUUGCUUCAAUUCAGCGUUGCAGCACCUGCAGAGGCCCCCUAUGGUACGUGCUUUACUCUUGUUAUCCUAUGCUCUAUUUUUGGCUUUGCGGCCUGCCUACGAGACAUAGCUGGGAUUGCGUGUUGAAUCAGGCAGUAUUUUUGACUUCUAUUUUGAGGCUAUGCUCAUGCUCGUACCUUUUUCUCUCGUAUGAUAAUAGACAUGUCAUAAUCCAUUAUUCUUCUAGGGUUGCCCCAGACACAAUUACUGUCACAUGGUAAUAAAAAGCAAAUAUAGAUUUCUACAAGAUCCCGUAGAGACCAAAUUUAUUUCAAGCAAAAUAUAGUAACCAAUAUUAUUGAAGUUUUGCAACUUGACUCAUGUGCAAUGGACAAAGAACACGGCUAGGAAACCUUCUUCCGGACUAAAACCCAACCACACCCUACUCUAUCGCUUGAUGGCCAAGUGAACACUCCACACUGCUGGACCAACUGCUUACAUCUUCGUCGUCUUCAACCGUAGCUGCAUCCGAUAGCCUAGCAUGGUACUGCUUGAACCUAUUCCUGUAUUUCAUUUUAUUGUAGGGUGAAUCGACAAGCACAACAGGUAGCUCUUUUCUAAAUUUCUCGAUGUACGCCUACAUGCAAGGAUAGGUUAGUAUCGUUCCUUUACCUUUAGAAAAUGACAUAAAUUUAGGUGUUACUCUAUGUACUUUGUCAUACUGCUUACUCAGUUUUAGUCCCGUAAAUAAUUCGAUGUUUAUACAGUGCACAACAAGAACUGCAACAUUUUGUGUUGUUAGAUCAGCAUUUCAGAUAUUAACAAUCUAAAACAAAAACAAAAGCUAAUAUUUUUGACUAACGUUUCAUCGGAUUUUGGCACAUUAAUGUUCCGUACUGGCCAUUGUGUCACGUUAAUGUCUUCCCAUGCAUUGCUUUCUAUCCCAUUGACUCGCCUCGCUGCUCUCAGAUGUGCUUCCAUCCCACUUACCUGCAAGCCCAAUGGGAUGAGAAGUUGCCUACGACGAAUACUUACAUACGAUGUCAAAUUCUUUGUUAUAGUUAAAUAUGUUGAAAUUCUCACCACGUUAUGUACUUCUUUGGGUACCAUACAGUGGAAAAGUGAAUCAAGAACCUGAAUCUCCUUCCUUCUGGGGUUUACGACCACAAGUAACCAGUGGACGCCUUGGCUGUUCGUAGGUAGGAAAACCUGGAUUGCACAGAUAAUUUUAUCAACGUGUAUAGUAAUAAAAAAAUAUGUUCAAAGUCAGGUUAAAAUACCAUAUCAUGUUUCAGGUAGCUGGUGCCUUGUGUUGUUCCAGGAAUGCCUGCGAAAGCGUCCUCGUAGAACUACUCUAUCCUACCAUCUCUUUCGAGCUUAGCGACGUCGGCCACCCAGUUGGUUGUCCCUUGUGUCAAUUGGGUCAUCAUGACGCAUGAGCUGGAUCGCAGCAUCAACCACCUACAACAAUAAUCAAGUUAAUUGUAUUGUACAAAAAUGAAACUUCGUAAACUAAUUUAUGAAAUAUCUUACUUCGUCACCCAACCAUACGGCUUCUUCAGAUCCAUCUUUUUGGGUGAGGCAUUGCAAAUGCUUCGAUAGCACGACAAUGUCAUCAACUAAGACCAUUUGUUUUUCAUGAUUUGUACCGUUGAUCAGUGACACCAGAAAUCCUGUCGAACCACAUCUAGCUGGUCCCUUUGGGUUUCAGUAACUUCUGACCUCUUUUUUAAGUUGCUAGAGCCGAUUUUCCUCUUUUUAUUGUUCGUGUCCUUGGAAUCAUUUGUAGACUCUGAUGGAGUCUUGUUUUUCCUUUUUUUUCUCAGUAUCGUACGAAGCAUACUCGUCAUUCUUAAAUAAUUGCAAUACCACAUUUUUCUUUUCGCCCCCAUGAUUUGGCGGCGUCGAUUCAAGCACACUUACUUCUUGCUGCUUUCGAAAGGAUUUAUCAUGGCUGUCAUCAUCUGUGAAGGCACGGGGCUCUUCGGGCUCUCGCGAUCCCGUAGCCUUCACAGAGUGCUGCUUACUCCAUAUGUUGAACGGAAUCUGUCAUAAAAAAUAAACCGCAUGUUAGCCUUUAGCAGAUUCUUCCUCAAUUAUAGGUAAAAUGUGCAUCACCUGGAAUUCUUCAAGGCUUGUGGUUGCUUUGGAAUGCAUUUGCUUAUCCAAACUAGGAGCACCUUGGAUAUCAUCCACCUCUUUCAAAAGCUUAGGAAUACCACUGAGAUCCUGUUUGAUUUUUCUUUCAGCUCUUUCAAAUGCUUCAUCCUGUACGUGGAAGAUCACAUGUUAUUUCUGAAACGACAAUGAUUGUUUCAUAAUUAAGUUAACAUGCGUACGUCAAACUCUUCAUCAAGGUUCUUCAUUGGGGGCUCCAUGUCAUCAUUUUUUUAUUCCCUGCUUACAAUGGUGCUUAGCAGUGACCUCCGUGACAUCAUUUUGUUCCCCCUGGUCAGAAGCCUGCUCAGCAUUAUCAACAGAGGCCUCCAUUGGGUGUGAAGGUUCCCCGAGGUCAGAAAGAUGUAUGUCCUCUAGUCCUGGAAAUAUUCCGUCGCGUUUUGUCUUUAAAAAAUACAUGUUAGUCUGGGGUGUUUUCAUAGUAAACUAAUUUAGAAAAAACCUUCUACACGUAAAUUUUCAAUUAUAUAUACUAAUCUCAUAAUUCUAGGCUUACGUUCAAUUCUUUGAUGAGGUCCUCUGUGAGCUUGCCAUUUGUAUGGGUAUGCCUAAGGCACUCAUCCAUUUUCUUUUCAAGGGUACACAUCCUAUCAACUUGUUGUGCACCAGCCUCCCUCACGAGGGAGGAAACUUCUUGCAAAUCAGUCAAUACACGUCCGACGAGUACCUUAAUCCGAGACUUUGAAAAAGUUAGAAUCAUAUAACUUCAUACUAGUUGCAAUGUUACAAUAUAUAUUGGGUGCCUGAUGUAACUCAUUUACCUGACCGCCAGUCUUCGGUUUGGCCAGCGUACCAUCUCGUGCUGGAAUGAAAGGCCUCAUUAGGUCCUCAACAUACUGCAGUUUAGUGUCGUUAGUAUGAUUUAGAAAAUAUACAUGUUACAUAAUCCAGGAAAUGUGCUGACAUUUUACCUCUCCAACUCCUAGAUAAUUAUUCUAGAUUAUAUUGUCAACCUUUUUUGCCUUCUCCUUGCUCCAGUUCUGGAUCAGUGGCCUUAACCUUGAUUCAUACGAGAUGCUAGAGUCCAAUUGGUGCACUCUGAACUUCUCGUAGUACCAUGUUUGCAUGACAACAAAAGCAGUUUACAAAUAUUCUCGUACAUUAUGUAAUGUAUGUUAGGUAAGUGAUAAUUGUACUAAUACGAGUUACCUGCAGCAGUGGUAGAUUCCCCUCCAGAAUUGCCUCACCAUUUACAAAAUUCUUCACGCUAUCCAUAAGAUAGUCAAUCGUUAGUUGUCCAAGAUUUGUGCCCUUUAUCGUCUCAACAUUUCUAACAAUCCCAGUAUAUUUGUUAUCCACAUACUCCUCUUUUGUUCGGCAUACAUAUUUGCCUAUGGUGUACAAGACAAAUGGCCUGACAAAUUUUGGUGUGUUGUCGCCUUUCAUCUUGGCUAGCAAUCCUUUGGAAGUUAUUUUGGUGUUAUUACGAUCUUUCAGUUUCUUCCACAACUCCAUAUUAUCAUCAAGAUUUGAAGGCACGUGCUUCUUCCCAUGGCAGGGUGUGCCUGUUAUAUACGCUACAUCUUCUAGUGUGAUCCUACAUGGUCUCCCGUUGAUGAUAAAGGCAUCCUGCUCUGUAUCAUAUGAAUUAGCGAUGGCCAUGCACAGUAAACGUCUGAUUUUGAUGCUAGGUGUCUUGAGAAGUCCACCCAGUCCUAUCAACUGGAUAUACAUCCUUUGCUGCGUGUUUAAUCCCUUUAUGAACUCCUCAUAUGGCGGCAAAGAAGCAUCCUGGGUUCAAUGGAUGUGCAAGUGUGAUUAGAUUCGGCAUGGUAUACAAUUUAAACACUCAUACAGACGAAUACAACUUAUAUAUACCAACAUAAAAAUUGUGCUCUACGCUACUUCAUGAGGUAAUUUGUUUACAAGCAAGCUGAGUUCCAUGAAUGUGCAAAUACUAGCAUUAGAUUCAGCUUUUUUUACGUUUGAAUGGACAUAUAAGGUAAUCUCCAUUGCAAGGCGCUGAUCUGAAAUAAAAUCAAGAUUCGAAAAUAAAAAACUAUCCAACCGUGGUCUCCUCAACUCUAGGCGCUAAUCAUGGUUAGUAGUAUGGAAUUAAAACAUGGGCCAUCGAUGCCUUCCAUAACUCGUGCGGAAGGAAAAAAGAAGGCAAGCGCCCGCUGCCCUAAUUGGCAUCGACAAGACCAGAACCUAAGAUUUAGCCUGUAAUUAAUCAAUGAACUGCCAAUCUGGUAGGAAACAAAUCCUAGCGCUCUCCCCUAAUGCCCCCAACUUAAUUUGUUUAAAAACAUGCUGAGUUAUAUGAAUAUGCAAACAACGAGUGGGCUUGCAGCAAGAGAUCAUGGGAUUAAGAUCGUGGCACGAAAAAUAGCAGCGGCUGCAGAAGGAGAUUGUGGGGAGUUACCUGAGGAUUCAUGUUUGGCUCCGUCGUUCGGUCUUGCUGGAUUCCUAGGUUGCUCCAUCCUUCGGUCUUGCUGGUUUGGGCGGCGCAGAAGGACGAACUAUGAUCUAUGAGGUUUCAAAGGAUCCCUAUUUAUAGGGAUCGUAACAACCCGGGCAUAUAUCCACGUAUAGAUUUCUUAGGUUGGAGGAAAUCAAGGGAGGGGACCCACCUAGUUGAGUAUUAAGGGGGCGUGGAGAGUUUAGCAAAGGUAAGUUAUGGUGUAAAAAAAACUAAGGUAAGUUGCGUAACAACACUUAGGUCUCCUGAGGAUCACGAUCGUCAAAAAGAUAUAGUUCCCGUUUCUUUGAAAAACAGCCAAAAGAACUGGACAACUUUUAUUAUUGGUUAUAAGUAAAUCACUGGACCUGUUUUAGGAUGAAAACUGGUUCUAAAGUCAACUAGGAUUGACUGUUCAACGUGAAGUAUCUUCCUCUCUCUUGUGAAGCUAUUUUAUUGCCCAUCCGUGCUCAUACAUUUUUUCCUCAUACAUGUGAGACCAAAUUUUGUUGAUAAUACUGAAUGAUGUCUGGUGCUGCUCAAGAUGGCACGACACCAUGGUUUUCGCUUCGGUGAGAUUUAGAUGAAAUAACUGAAUUUCAUUCAUUUCAGCACUCACUGCAAUAUUUGCCUUUCGGCCAAAAUAUUUCAGCCUCACUAAAUUUUGGCCAAAAUAUUUCAGCACUCGCUGAAAUUUUUCUGGAACUUCUAACUAGCGAUGUUAAAAAAAUUCUGAAACUUCUAACUAGCGACGUAAUUGUUCUAAAUCUUGUCCAGACUUCGAUGAAACUUAAAUAUAAAUUUAAGAAUUCAGUUAACCUUCCUAAGCUUCAAAUUCUUGUCAAAAAGCAAAUAUAUGUUUCAGCAUCUCCCAUGCAAACCAAAUUUAUUUCAAGAAUAGUAUUUGGAACCAGUACUGUGUAGUAUUACAACUUGAUUAAUCCGCACUGGACUAAGAACAUGGCUAGGAAACCUUCUCCAGGACUAAAACCAAACCACACCCUACUCUACCGCUUCAUAACCAAAUGCACACUCCAUAUCUAAGAAUGGACCAUUGCUGGACUAAAUGCUUGCAUCUUCAUGAUCUUCAAUCGCAGCUGCAUCCGAUAGGCUAGCAUUGUACGUCUUCAGCCUUUUCAUGGACUUCAAUUUGUUGUAGGGCGAAUUAAGAAGGACAACAGGCAACUCUCUUCUAUAAUUGUUGAUGUAUGCCUGCAUGGGAGUAUAUCUUAGUAUCGUUCCAUAUGUUUACAAAAUUGAGAGAAUUUUAGGUGUUACUCUGCGUACUUGGUCAUAAUGCAGUCUAAGAUCUUCUCGCUUAAAGAAUUCGAUGUUCUUCAGUAUGUAGAGUGCACAAGAAGAACUACAACAAUUAAUUCUGUUUGCAACAUUUCACGUAUUAACAAUGAAAAACAUAAUUAGAAGCUAAUACUGUUGACUGACUUGUCAUCUUGUCUUGGCAUAGGCACAUGCUUUACUGUCCAUUGGGUCACGUUAAUGUCUUGCCAUGCAUGGCUUUGUGGUCCAUUGAUUCGCAGCGAUGCUCUCAGAUGUGCUUCCACCCCACGUAUCUGCCAAAUUCCAUGGUAUGAGAAGUUGAUCACGGUUCAUGGCCAGGUAUGAUGCUAAAUCCUGUGUUAUAUUGAAAGACGUUUAAAAUCUCACCACGUGAACCACUUGUGUGCGUUCUAGGUAGCCAAAAAGUGAAUCAAGAAUCUGAAUCUCCCUCCUUCUGGGGUUUACGACCACAAGGAACCAGUGGGUGUUCGCCAUGUUCGUAGGCAGAAAAACCUAGACAGCAAAGAUGAUUACAUCAACAUGCAUAAUAAUUAGAAAAAUAAAUUUGUUUAUGUCAUGUUGAGAUGGUACCAGAUCAUGUCUGAGGUAGUUGUCUCCUUUUGUUGUUCCAUGACUGCCCGCCAAAGCGGCCUCGUGGCAGCUCUCUACCUUACCAUCUCUUUCGAGCAUAGCAACGCCGGCCACCCUCUCAAUGUAAACCAGCUGCCCAUCCCUUAUGUCAUUAGGAUGAUCAUGACGCAUGAUCUGAAUCACAGCAUCAACCAACUAAAACAAAAUUCAAGUUAAUUGUGGCAUUCAAAAAAAUUCAAGUUAAUUGUACUGUGCAAAUUAAAAUUGAUAAACUAAUUUGGGCAAAUAUCUUACUUCAUCACCCAACCAUUUGUCAUCUUCGCUUACAUCUGUCAUGGUGAGGCAUUGCAAAUGCUUCUGUUGUAGAACAAUGUCAUCAAUUACCACCAAUUGUUUAUGAAGAUCUGAGGUGUUGAUAAUUUCGGCCACAUAACUCUGUCGAAACUUGUCAAGGUUGGUCUCCAGCGUCGAAGCACCUAUGUCUAUAUCUUUUAAAUUUCUUGCACGAUUUUUCCUCUUUGUAUUCUUUGUGUCCUUGGAAUCGUUGGUAGACUCCGAUGGAGUCUUGUUUUUCUUUCUCUUCUUAUCACGAUCGUACAGAACAAAAUCUUCAUUGCACAAUAAUGAAGAUGCCACUCUUUUCCGGCUGCUCACACGAGUUGGUAGCAUGGAAUCAACCCCACUAUCUUGUCGCCGCUUUGCUAAAGAAUAAUCACAGUUGUCCUCAUCAACUGGGAAGACAUGGGGCUCUUCUGGCUCCCUUAUUCCCUUAGCCUUGACAGACCGGUGGUUGCUUUUGGUACCUGCCUCUGCACCCACCUCAAUAGUGACAUCUUCAUCAUCUUGAUUUCUUCUUUCUUCAGUCUUUCACACAUUCUCAUUGUGCCUCAAAUUCAGAGGAUCCUGUGAUUCGAAAUGAAGCACUUGUUAGCUUGCAAUCUGCGCGAAAUAAAAAAACAAAACCAGUUAACUGUAAAAUGUGCAUCACCAGGAAAGCUUCAAGGCUUGUGGUGGCUUUGGAAUGCUUUCGCGAAUCCAAACUCGGAGCACCCUGCGAUGCAUCCACCUCUUUAUAAAGCUAUGAAACAUUCUUAAGACUCUCCUUGCAAGCUGCAGCAACAGGUCUGUGUUCUUCAUCCUGAAUGUGGAAGAUCAUAUGUUAGCUACGAAUCCACAUUAACUUAAAACAAAAUCAGUUAGAUGUAAAAUGUGUAUCACCAUGAAAGCUUCAAGGCUAAUCUUGGCUUUUGAAUGCUUUCGCGAUUGCAAACUAGGAGCAGGCUGCAAAUCUUCAGAUAUGUUCUUCUUGGGGGCAUCCAUGUAAUCUUUUUGUAUUCCCUUAGCAGAAAUGCCUUUGGCAAUGACCUUUGUGUCAUCUUUUUGUUUUUGCUGGCGAGUAGUAUUCUCUCCUGGGACCUCCAUUGGGUCCGCAGGUACUCCCAGGUCAGAUAGCUGUAUGUCCUCGACUCCUGGGCGAUCAGCAUCAAAUAUUCCAUAGCGGUGGUUCUUUAAAAAAAUGUGUUAGUGUGGAGAGUAUUGACAGUAAACUUAUUUAUAGAAACUCACAAUGGUAUACUUACAUUGAAUUUUGUGAUGAGGUCGUCCGUGCGUCUGCCGUUCGCAAGGGUACGCCUAAGGCACUCGUCCAUUUUUUUUUCAAGGGUGCACAUCCUAUCAAAUUGUUGUGCACUGGCCUCCCGCACAAUGGAGACAAUUAAUUUCAAAUCAGCCAAUACACGGCUCAUGAGUGCCUUAUCCUGCAAAUUACAAGCAGUUAUGAGCAUAUGACUUCGAUUGUACUUGCAAAGUUACAAUGUAUAUUUGUGCAUGAUGUUCAUCAUUUACCUGGCCGUCAUUCUUUGGUUUGACUGGCGUCCCAACUGGUGGUGGAUUGAAAGGCCGCAGCAGGUCAUCGAUAUACUGCAUGUUAGUGUCGUUAGUAUCAUUCAAAACAUAUGGUACAUAAUCCAGGCACACAGUACUAACACUUUACCUCUCCAACCCCUAUAUAAUUUUUGUUGAUUAUGUUGUCAACCUUCUGUGCCUUCUCGUCACUCCAGUUUGGGAACAGCGGCCUUAACCUUGAUGCAUACGAGAUGGUAGAGUCCAAUUGGUGCACCCUCCACUUCUCGUAGUACCACGUCUGCAUUACAACAAAAACAGCUUAGACAAUUUUCCAUAAAAUUAAAUGUAUGGUAUGUUAAUAAUGAUUGUAUUACCUGUAGCAGUGGUAGGUUGCCCUCCAGAUUUGCUCCACAAUUUACAAAUUUCCUGACGCUAGCCAUAAGAUGGUCAAGCGUAAGUUGUCCAAAAUUGGUGCUCUUUAUUGUCUCAAUGUUUCUAACAAUCCCAAGGUAUCUGUUGUCCACAUACUGCUGUGUUGUCGGGCAUACAUAUUUGCCUAUGGUGUACAAGACAGAUGUCCUGACAAAAUUAGGUGUGCUGCCGACUUUCAUCUUGGCUAGCAAUCCUUUCAAAGUUACUUUUGUGUCACUGGGGUCUUUCAGUUCCUUCCAUAACUCCAAAGUAUCAUUGUGAUUUGAAGAGACGUGAUUCUUCCCCAUGCAGGGUAGGCCUGUCAUAUGCUCCACAUCUUUUAGUGUGAUCCUACAUGGUCUCCCAUUAAUUAUAAAGGCAUCCUGCUCUAUAUCAUAUGAAUAAGCGAUGGCCUGGCAUAGUAGAUGUCUCAUUCUCAUGCCAGGAGUCUUGAGAAGUUCACCCAGUCCAAUCAACUUGAUGUACGUCAGUUGAUGUGUGUUUAAAUCUUUUAUUAACUUAUCGUAUUGCAGCAAAGAAGCAACCUGAGUUUCCUGAAUUUAGAAAUAGUGUGAUUAGAUUCUGUAUGGUAUUCAUUUAAACACGCAUAGAACCGACUAAUCUAUGCCAAUAUCAAAAUUGUGAUCUAGAAUACUACAUGAAAUCAUAGAGCUUCUGGGCCAUAUAAUGAACACCUGACAUAGAAAAACAAGCUAUCUCUUUUGGCAAAUUGACUGAUAAUAGUAUUGAUUUUUAGUAGAAAGAGCAGACUUUGGUCUAUGUACACUACUAAAGUUUCAGGCGUCACGCUUACGAAAAUAAUUGCAUACAUGAUCAGAAGAUCAAUAGUUUAUAGAUAAUCUCGAAAAAGGAAUGUAGCAGUUCCAUUGCAAGCAUUCAAGAGCACAUACUCCUUAGUUCCGAUCAGAUUAAAAAAGGUCAAUUAGUAAAGAUCAUGCAAAAUUAAGGGGAAUCACCAACAGUUUCAAUCACUGGAGAUUAAGAACUCAUUUAGAAAGCCUAUGCCAAAAAAUUAGCAAUUUCCAAAUUUUAAGGCAUAUAAACAGAGACGAUAACCCUGAUUUUAUUGCACAUCUAAGUCCUAUGUCAUUGAUUUUAUGCUAAGAUUCGUGCAAGACUUUUUUUUGUCAUUUUUUCUUUUCUUUCUAGACACACCCAUCUCCCUUCAGUAAAAUAGGGAAAAUUAUGGGAUUGCAUGCAAACUUGGGAAGGAGGGAGUAUGUAGAAUACAUGGAUCUCGAUCGUUACCGGAGGAUUCUCUCGAUGACGACUGACUCCAUUGCCGUUCGCUUUCAUAUUUUGCUUCGCCAGCUUCUCCGACGUGCCCUUCUCUUUCGUCGGCUUCUCUGACAUGCCCUUCUCAUUCAUCUCAGGAUUCGCCGACACAGGCUUCGAAGAUGACGGCUCCGUUGGUUUCACCGACCUGGGAGCUACUUUUGGUGGCGUGGGGUGGUAAUUCGAUGUAGUCAUGGAAGGCUAGGUAUGGGAGGCGUGGGGUGGGAGGCGUGGGGUGGAGUAUUUAUAGGGGAUUUGGGAUCUCACGAAGAGGUAGUUUUAGACCACGUAAUGUUUUUUUGGGCGAUGCUAUUGCGUGCGCGCUCGCUCUGGCGAGCGAUUUCCGACUAGACAGGCUUUAUUAGGUAACCACGUCCAAACAGGAAUCCCUUUAAAUUAGGAAGGAGAGAGAUAAAUGAAGAGAUUUUACAGAGAAUAUCUUACCUGCCCACGUUGAAAUCAGGGGGGCAUAGAGAUUAGAGGGGAGAUCUCUUUAGGCCCACCUGAAAAUCAGGGGGCAGAAAGAUUAGAAUCGUGGGGGAAGAGAGAGAUUGGGAUCAAGCGUUGCCAUGCUCGCUCGUCAAAGAGCGUUUCCGGUUGUUGUUUUUUAGCAAGUUUUUUUGAGAAUUUUUUUAUCAACUUAAUCUCAACCGUGAAGCGGUUGGGCUUCUUGUGCUUUCUUAUACGGGCCUAUUACAAUGGGAUGAGCCCAUUUUAAAUGAGAACAUAAGAAAGAAAGCGAGGACUCCAACAGGCGGGACGAGCCCCAUCCCAAUUAUUUAGGACGAUCAUGCGCGAGGGCGCUUCGUCCUCACUGCCACGACUCUCCAAAAACGGUUCCUCUGCCUCUGCGUCCUCUCGAUUCCCUCUUCCUCUGUGUCGCCUACUCUCCCAACAAUCUGGCUUCUAGAACGGUGAGUUCUCCUUCUUGUCAAUUUUGUUAGUAGUUCGCCAGUAGCAGCACAUACGAUGGCCUUCUUCUUGUCAAUUUCUUGUUCUCCUGCUUCUUUAUUUUGUGUGCACAGAUUCAACUGCCUUCAACAUGCGUUGCCUUAUGAGAAUUCUGUGAAGGAAGUACCACUUUGGCAUGUCCAAAUGGUAUCCAUUUUCUACAGUGCUUUCCUAUGCCCAAAUAACCAUCCUCCACCAAAUGUCAGCUCAAUCCAUUCAUUAUUUUGAGCCCAGCUUCAACAUUCGUAUUUAUGUCUAGUGUGGUACUUUGCAAAGCAAGUACCACCUAGGAUCCUCCUUGUGAGGUGAAAUUUUGUGAAGAUGGUCUUAUUAGUAACUGAUCAUCCUCAGCCAAAAAUCACGCCCAUUAUCCAUGUGCAUUUCCCGUACCACAAAUCAAACACUUGGCUGCUUAUUCAUGUUUGAGUAUCGAUCGGUCUCCUCGUGAGAAUCUUAUGUUGUGAUUUUCUUCCUAGCACCUAACUUGGGAGUGCCCAACCCACUAGACAUGCCUAGGCCACCCAGAACACAUGGCAACGCCACGGUCACGCGGUGACCGCGCGGCGGGCAUGCGAUCUUACGCGCUGUAGAGUUGGGCCCCUCGGCCACUGUCCAAACCUCGAUGUCUCGCCAUCAAACCAUGUAUUUCUGAUUAAAUAGAUACUUACUUACCUAGAAAUGAUUUUUGGAAAAAAUAAAGAGCAAACUAUGAGGCAGCUGCAGUUCAAAUUUGACCCGCUUCCAACUGAAUCGACGGGAAUUUGUCUUUUUCAUCGGAGGUGGAUCAAAACUUUUGACACCCAACCAUUUUGUCAAUCGUGCAUUAAAUAUGUCCUAGUAUUUUAUAAAAUUGAUUAGGUACAAUUUUGCAACAAAUAUAUGGUAGGUCAUUCACAAAAAAAACUCAUUUCGGGCACUCAGAAAAUGGAAAAUGUAUUUUCCGUGAAAAGAAAAUGAAAACCCCCUUAGGCAACAUUGUUUGGAAUUCCAAGAUGCACCCUUGUGCACAAUAUGAGAUCAUUUGAACAAACUAUGCCAUAAAUGUGGCCAUAAGAUUGAUCAUUUGGCUUGAAAGCCAUGAAUCUUCACACAUGAUAACUCAUUUCUGAGAACACUUUUUUAAAUAAUUACCGUAUUACAAGUUUAUUAUUUUUCCUGGAAACUUGGGCACAUAUAGUGACACAAUGCGAAGGUUUUCCAAUUUUUUGAUUUUUUUUGAAUUUUUUAUGCCCGUUUCAAAAUGCGGUCAAAACGGCGGGCUUGACCGUUCCUAGCUACUGGUUGAAUCUUGGAUUUUUUUUGGUGUUUCUCUGAUUAAAUAGAUACUUAUGUACCUAUAAAUGAUUUUUAGAUAAAAUAAAGAGCAAACUACGAGGUAGCUACAGUUCAAAUUUGACCCACUUCCAACUGAAUCGGUGGAAAUUUGUCUUUUUCACGAGAGGUGGAUCAAAACUUUUUAGACCCAACCAUUUGGUAAAUUUUGCAUCAAAUAUGGCCUAGUAUUUUAUAAAAUUGAUUAGGUCCAAUUUUGCAACAAAUAUAUGGUAGGUCGUUUACAAAAAAACUCAUUUCGGGCACUCGGAAAAUGGAAAAUGUAUUUUCCGUGAAAAGAAAAUGAAAAAUCCCUUAGGCAACAUUGUUUGGAAUUCCAAGAUGCACCCUUGUGCACAAUAUGAGAUCAUUUGAACAAACUAUGCCAUUAAUGUGGCCAUAAGAUUGAUCAUUUGGCUUGAAAGCCAUGAAUAUUCACACAUGAUAGCUCGUUUCUGAGAACACUUAUUAAAAAUAAUUACCGUAUUACAAGUUUAUUAUUUUUCCUAGAAACUUGGUCACAUAUAAUGACGCAAUGCGAAGUUUUCCAAUUUUUUGAUUUUUUUUAAUUUGUUAUGCCCGUUUCAAAAUGCGGUCAAAACUGCGGGCUUGACCGUUCGUAGCUAGUGUUUGAAUCUUGGAAUUUUUUUGGUGAUUCUCUGAUUAAAUAGAUACUUAUGUUCCUAUAAAUGAUUUUGGGAAAAAAUAAAGAGCAAACUACGAGGUAGCUACAGUUCAAAUUUGACCCGCUUCCACCUGAAUCGGUGGAAAUUUGUCUUUUUCACGAGAGGUGGAUCAAAACUUUUUACACCCAACCAUUUGGUCAUUUGUGCAUUAAAUAUGGCUUAGUAUUUUAUAAAAUUUAUUAGGUACAAUUUUGCAACAAAUAUAUGGUAGGUCCUUCACAAAAAAACUCAUUUUGGGCACUCGAAAAAAUGGAAAAUGAAUUUUUUGUCCAAAGAAAAUUAAAACUUCCUUAGGAAACAUUUUUUGCCAUUCCAAUAUGCACCCUUGUGCACAAUAUGAGAUCAUUUGAACAAACUAUGUCAUGAAUGUGGCCAUAAGAUUGAUCAUUUGGCUUAAAAGCCAUGAAUCUUCACACUUGAUAGCUCGUUUCCGAGAACAUUUUUUAAAAUAAUUGCCGUAUUACAAGUUUAUUAUUUUUCCUGGAAACUUGGUCACAUAUAAUGAUGAAUGCGAAGGUUUUCCAAUUUCUUGAUUUUUUUGAAUUUUUUAUGCCUGUUUUAAAAUGUGGUCAAAACAGCGGGCUUGACCGUUCCUAGCUAGUGGUUGAAUCUUGGAAUUUUUUUGGUGUUUCUCUGAUUAAAUAGAUACUUAUGUACCUAGAAAUGAUUUUUGGAAAAAAUAAAGAGCAAACUAGGAGGUAGCUACAGUUCAAAUUUGACCCGCUUCCAACUGAAUCGGUGGAAAUUUGUCUUUUUCACGAGAGGUGGAUCAAACCUUUUUACACCCAACCAUUUGGUCAAUUGUGCAUUAAAUAUGUCCUAGUAUUUUAUUAAAUUGAUUAGGUACAAUUUUGCAACAAAUAUAUGGUAGGUCCUUCACAAAAAAACUCAUUUUGGGCACUCGAAAAAAUGGAAAAUGAAUUUUUUGUCCAAAGAAAAUGAAAACUUCCUUAGGAAACAUUGUUUGCCAUUCCAAUAUGCACCCUUGUGCACAAUAUGAGAUCAUUUGAACAAACUAUGUCAUGAAUGUGGCCAUAAGAUUGAUCAUUUAGCUUGAAAGCCAUGAAUCUUCAAACUUGAUAGCUCGUUUCUGAGAACACUUUUUUAAAAUAAUUGUCGUAUUACAAGUUUAUUAUUUUUCCUGGUAACUUGGUCACAUAUAAUGACGCAAUGCGAAGGUUUUCCAAUUUUUUUGAAUUUUUUGAAUUUUUUAUGCAUGUUUCAAAAUGCGGUCAAAACGGAGGGCUUGCCCGUUCCUAGCUAGUGGUUGAAUCUUGGAAUUUUUUUAGUGUUUCUCUGAUUAAAUAGAUACUUAUGUACCUAGAAAUGAUUUUUGGAAAAAAAUAAAGAUUAAACUACGAGGUAGCUACAGUUCAAAUUUGACCCGCUUCCAAUGAAUCGGUGGAAAUUUGUCUUUUUCACGAGAGGUGGAUCAAACCUUUUUACACCCAACCAUUUGGUCAAUUGUGCAUUAAAUAUGGCCUAGUAUUUUAUAAAAUUGAUUAGGUACAAUUUUUCAACAAAUAUAAGGUAGGUCCUUAAAAAAACUCAUUUUGGGCACUCGAAAAAAUGGAAAAUGAAUUUUUCGUCCAAAGAAAAUGAAAACUUCCUUAGGCGACAUUGUUUGCCAUUCCAAUAUGCACCCUUGUGCAUAAUAUGAGAUCAUUUGAACAAACUAUGUCAUGAAUGUGGCCAUAAGAUUGAUCAUUUGGCUUGAAAGCCAUGAAUCUUCACACUUGAUAGCUCGUUUCCGAGAACAUUUUUUUAAAAUAAUUGUCGUAUUACAAGUUUAUUAUUUUUCCUGGUAACUUGGUCACAUAUAAUGACACAAUGCGAAGGUUUUCCAAAUUUUUGUUUUUUUAAUUUUUCAUGCCCGUUUCAAAAUGCGGUCAAAAGGGCGGGCUUGACCGUUCCUAGCUAGCGGUUGAUUCUUAUAAUUUUUUUUGGUGUUUCUCUGAUUAAAUAGAUACUUAUGUACCUAGAAAUGAUUUUCUGAAAAAAAAAUAAAGAGCAAACUAUGAGGCAGCUGCAGUUCAAAUUUGACCCGUUUCCUGCUAAAUAGGCGGAAAUUUGUCUUUUUCACCAGAGGUGGAACAAAGCUUUUAAUAUGCAACUAUUUGGUCAACUCAACAUUAAAUAUGACCUAAGAUUUUAUAAAAUCGAUGUGGCCCAAAUUUGCAACAAAUAUUUGCUAGGUUCUUCAUAAAAAAUCAUUUUGGGCACUCGAAAAAUAAUUCUCUUACAGAAAACUUAUUUCUGAGAACACUUUUUUAUGAUAUUUGCAUUAUUCAAAGUUUGUUAUUCUUACUGAAAAGUAGGUCACACUUGGUGACACAAUGCAAUGUUUUUUGAUUUCUAUUUGUUUUUAUAAAUUUUCUAGGCCGUCAAAUAGCAGACAUGUUCUAACAUCUUAUUUUCAAUCGAUUAUGACCAAUUUAAAUGGUCUUAAAAUCAUCAAAUGGGUACUGCGUUUUGAUUGGUCCAAAACCAUCUCACGCGGAUCAUGGAUUAGCACCGUCGGAUGCGCCCGGAUCCAAUGGUAGCCCACACCCCCCCUCGUCGCUCCCCCCUCCCUCUCAUCCUCAUCCACCCACGAAAACCCUAGCUCACUUAUGCCCAUCGCCGCUGCCGCUCCCGCUCCCUUUUCCCCCGCCGCCGCCUGUCUCCUCCCAUCAUACUCCUCCCCCCUCGUCCUUGUCUCGUCGCCGCCGCCACCUCCUUCCCGUCCCCGGCCUCCUUUCCNNNNNNNNNNNNNNNNNNNNNNNNNNNNNNNNNNNNNNNNNNNNNNNNNNNNNNNNNNNNNNNNNNNNNNNNNNNNNNNNNNNNNNNNNNNNNNNNNNNNNNNNNNNNNNNNNNNNNNNNNNNNNNNNNNNNNNNNNNNNNNNNNNNNNNNNNNNNNNNNNNNNNNNNNNNNNNNNNNNNNNNNNNNNNNNNNNNNNNNNNNNNNNNNNNNNNNNNNNNNNNNNNNNNNNNNNNNNNNNNNNNNNNNNNNNNNNNNNNNNNNNNNNNNNNNNNNNNNNNNNNNNNNNNNNNNNNNNNNNNNNNNNNNNNNNNNNNNNNNNNNNNNNNNNNNNNNNNCUCCCCGUCCCCGGCCUCCUUCCGCGGCGCGCGAUCCCAUCUCCCCUCCUCUCCCGAUCCCACCCACCGAACCGAUCCUGAUUCAGUCUGGAUCGAGAGAGAGCGAGCCCCCUCCCGCGAUUACCACCGCUGUCACCCCCACCCACCACCGCCGACCUUGUCUCCGCCACGGACCCUCUCCCCUAGCCUUCACCCCCCAGAUCCACCAGUCCAGGCACGACCAUGGCGUCGCGGCCAGCUUUCUUGCCAGUAUUUUCUUCUCUCCUUCCUUCAUGCGUCCAGUGCUUCCCUCCCCUUAAACUAUGAGGUUUCAGCUGGUCGCAGGAUGAGGAUGCGGUCGUCGGCAGGCGGUCGUGACCUUCUCGAGUUCUCCUUCGAGGAAGAAGCUCCUGGGUAUGUUUGUCCUGUCUCAACACUUGUCCUGUGUUCUUGCAUCGAUUUGCUCUGCUUUAAUUAUUGAUGUGUGCGUCAGGUAGGAGGUGCGGGCGGUGGAGAGGGGAGCGCUCCUCGCGACGAUGGCCUCCAAGCUCCCGCCAGGCGCCAUCUCCUUCUCAUCCAGGCUCAAAUCCAUCGCCGGCCAAGGGCCCGACGGCACCCUGCUGGAGCUCCAGGACGGGAGGCGGCUCCUGUCCAAAGUGGUGAUGGACUGCGACGGCGUCAACUCCCCGAUCGCGAGGUGGAUGGGGUUCUCGGAGCCCUGAUAUGUGGGGCACAUGGCGUUCCGCGGCCUCGCGUACUACGCUGGCAUGCAGUCAUUCGAGCCCAAGGUGAACUACAUCUACGACCGGGGCGUCCGCGCCGGCUUCGUCCCGGUCUCCCCGACCAAAGUCUACUGGUUCAUUUGCUUUCUUGCCAAAGUAUCACAAAGACUUCUACGCUUUUGUCAUGGUAUUUUGCCAUUGAUGUUUCCUUGAUGUGCAUUAAUAUGCAUAAAAGGGUGUAUGCUAGUUCAUUAUUUGUCUGCUGAUGCAUUAGUUGUGCAGUUGCUUGUGUCCAGUGUCAGUGGCAAUUCGAGCACUGUAAUUCACUAAAAAAGUGUGGUAAAUUUUACAGAGAUAGGAUUUGCCCUUUCCUUCAUGUGGUAAUUUUGUAAGUAUGAAGAAACUUGUUAGUUUUGUCAUGAUAUCCUUCCAAUUUAUUUUCUUCUUGAAGCAUCAUUAUCCGAAGAUUAUAUUCUAAUUUAUUAUACGACUGCUUGAUUGGCAUGCAUUAAUUGUGUGUCUGUGUCUAUUGGCGAUUUCAUGUAAUUUAUAGAUAAUAAUUUACACCGUACAAAACAAAAAAGGGUGUGACUGCUGCUCUAAAAUGUUUUCCCUAUUUGCUUCUUUCCAUUGGAUAGCAUCAUUAUCCGAAUCCAUGCCAUUCUGUUAAUAGUAGCCUAGUAGUAGGAUGCUUGUGUAGUUUUUUCACAGUUCUUGAUCCCUGAACCAUGAUGUCUCUUGAUUUCUGAUCCCUUUUGUUGUUGUACCAAUAGUGUAUCCCAGAGUAUCGCUUGAUUCCUAGCCUGGAACAAGUCCUCUAGCGCGGCUAGGGUUCCACCUUUUCCUCCGGCGGCGAUGCUAGGAGUCCACGUAAAAACCUUCACGGCGGCGGGUUCCUUCCGGUGGCCGGGGUCGCUACUUUGUCCAGACGCCGGAGUUCUGUCUGCAUGUCGAGUCUACCGCAGGAUUCGGGGGUGAGGAGGGAUCUAGGGAAGGGGGACACAGUCCCGAUGGGAGUAGGAGGAGGGGGAGCAUCAGGUGGAAGGGGGAUAGAUGGGCCGCAGGAGAUGAGGAGGGAGACGAGUACUAUGGGGGGUGCGGGUGGAUCGGCAGGGGUCGAGGAAGUUUUUGGUGAAGAUGAAGAUUGGGAGGCUUAUGGCCCGGAGGCGGACCUGGAAGAUCAAUUUGCGGGUUUGAAGCUUCAUGGCGAGGAAGAAGAUGAUCUUGAUCUAUCUGGUGAGGUCGAUGAACUGAUCAAAGGAGUCCGCUGGCUGGGGCUCUUUAGGGUUUACACAACGAAGCCGUUUAGCCACGCUGCGCUCCUGAGACAGAUGAGGAACGCGUGGUCAUCAGCACAGGGUGUAACUUUCAACAUAAAGGGCCCAAAUCUUUUCUUGGUGCAGUGCCACUGCCUCGGAGAUUGGAAGAGAAUGAUGGAGGGAGGCCCGUGGCUUUUCCGCAAUUCGGCGCCAAUUAUCAUACAUGAGUAUGAUGUCUUUACUGAUGUGAAUGAGUACAAGUUGAAUAAGAUCCCGCUAUGGGCAAGAGUCAAGGGCCUGCCGGAUGGAUUGACCGCGAAGAAGGAAGUUGCAGAGAAGGUGGCAUCAAAGGUGGGAGAACCACCGUUUACUGUCGUUGUGAAUGAGGGCAAAAUUAAUCCGGCUAGCACUUUAAGGGUCAGAGUUUUUGUGGAUGUUAACAAGCCACUGGUGCGGUUUGUGCCUAUCACAAUCAAGAAGAGCAAAAAGUAUCCUGUGUUUUAUGACAAACUGCCAGUGUUCUGUUAUUUUUGUGGUCUGAUCGGGCAUACUGUGGAAGAAUGCGGUGAUGGCAUCCACGAACCGGACUCGUGUGAAUGGGGCGAAUGGCUGCUGUGGAGCAAUGAAGGCUUUGGGCCUGGCAUGGAGGGGAGGGGAGGUAGAGAAGGAGGAGGUUUAGGAGGCAGAAUGGGUGGUAGAGGAGCUAGGGGGGGUCGUCAAGGAAGUGGAGGAGGUGGGGCUGAUGGAAGGGGGGCUAGGGAGGAUGUCUUUUAUACAGAAGGAGAAGAGCAUCAGUAUCAAAUCCCGCCUGAGAGUCAAAAGACUGCCCGUAAGAGGCUGGUCGCAGCUGACGACACAGUCAGCGUACGAGGACAGGAGCUACCAAAUCUGGCUGGUAAAGUAGCUGAUACAGUACUGCUGCUGGAGAACACCGCGGGAAGCACAAGUGGAGGGGUGAUCUCUACCCCAGAAAAAGUUCCUACGGUGAAAAGAAGAAAGCAGGAUGGAGAGAUGGUGGAAGAGAUGGAUACCAUGAGUCAGGCGGCCUCCCUCGAGGAGGACCGCCGAGUCCAGUGAGGACUCUAUGUUGGAACUGUCGUGGGAUUGGCGACCCCACGACAGUCCGUGAGCUCCGCGAUCUCGUGGAGGCUUGUGCACCGAUGGUGCUUUGUAUUGUGGAGACCCAAAUUGCGAAGUACCGGGUGGAAGGUUUGGUUGGUAGUCUAGGUUUUGAUAGUAGUUUUGGAGUAGGCAGUAGUGGGCGUAGUGGAGGUCUAUGCUUGUACUGGAAGAAUUCUAUAAAUCUUGAAAUAAAGACAUUUUCUUAGUAUCAUAUAGACUCAGUGGUUACCAAACCAGGCAAGGAUCCGUGGAGGAUAUCAUGUUUCUAUGGGGCAGCCAGUAGGAGUAUGCGAUACAAAACUUGGGACACAAUGAAGUUUCUGAAGGGAGAAAACAGUUUACCCUGGGUGUGCAUCGGUGAUUUUAACGAGAUUCUGCGGCCCGAGGAGCAAAUGGGUCCGAACGAGCGUGAUAGUGCUCAAAUAGCUGGUUUUCGAGAAGCAGUUGAUGUGUGUGAAUUGGCAGAUAUUGGAUACAGGGGCUUGGACUGGACAUUCGAGAAGAGGAUAGCUGGGGGGGACUAUUGUAGGGUUCGAUUGGACCGGGCCCUAGCUUCCCCAAGUUGGUCAGCGAUGUUUCCUUUUGCGUCUUUGGAACACCUCACUUCAGCAAAGUCUGAUCAUAGUCCCAUCCUUCUACUUAAUGAGCUAGAAGCGGGAAACCUGAGAUUAGCUUUGAACAAGCCUUUUCGCUAUGAAUGCAUGUGGGAGCAGGAAGUUUCUUUCAGAGGCACGGUUGAGGAGGCGUGGAAGAAGGACCAGCCGGCAACUACUGCGGCCGAACUAGCGGCAAAACUAACAACGGUGGCCACAAUGCUGAAACGUUGGGGUCGCACAACUUUCGGGUCGGUUCGGAAGGAGCUUCGGGAGCUGCGCCAGCAGCUUACUGAACUUAGAGCGCACCCUUUAAGAGUUGCACCGGGAGCAGAAGAAAAGAAGGUUCAGGACAGGAUUGCUGAACUAUCCUACAGAGAAGAGAUAAUGAUGAGGCAACGAUCUCGAGUCAAGUGGCUUGCUGAGGGGGAUAAUAACACCCAAUACUUUCAGAAAAAAGCCAGUGCUAGGAGAGCAAAAAAUACAAUUACCGAAUUGCAGCGGCAAGAUGGUACGGUAUGUAAUGAACCCACAGAGAUGGCUAGUAUGGCCAGCGAUUUCUAUGAAAAUCUGUACACAUCACAAGGGACUAUUGGGAUGGAAGAAGUCCUACCACACAUACCGGCUCGAGUUGAUGCGGGUAUGAAUGCACGCCUUAAUGCCCCUUAUACUAAUGAAGAGGUAAAAGUUUCCCUGUUUCAAAUGUUUCCAACCAAAGCACCGGGGCUGGAUGGCUUUCCCGCGCAUUUUUUUCAAAGGCACUGGGAGCUUUGUGGAGAGGAGGUUACGGGUAUGAUCAUUCGAGUGCUCAAUGGAGAUGACUCGCCGGAGGAGAUAAAUCGCACGUUCAUCGUUCUUAUUCCCAAGAUAGCAAGUCCAAAACCAUUAGGACAGUUUCGGCCUAUAAGCCUGUGUAAUGUGGUCUACAAGAUUGCAUCAAAGGUGUUAGCGAACAGGCUGAAAAAUAUUCUCCCAGAGGUAAUUUCUGAAGAGCAAUCGGCGUUUGUUCCUGGACGUCUAAUCACGGAUAACUUCAUAUCAUCGUAUGAAUGUUUGCACUAUAUGAAAACAAGGAGAAUUAAGGGCAACAGAUACUGUGAUGAUGAUGAUGGCAUAUGAUAGACUGGAGUGGUCUUAUCUGAAGGCAGUGAUGCUCAAACUGGGAAUCAGUCCCCGGUUCACUGACACUGUCAUGAGGUGCGUCUCGUUAGUUUCUUUUUCAGUCCUUUUUAAUGGUGGCAGUAUGGAUGAGUUCAGACCAUCUAGAGGGCUUCGGCAGGGAGAUCCGAUUUCCCCCUAUUUCUUUUUGCUUGCUGCAGAAGGCUUAUCUUGUUUGCUCAAAGCACACGACAGUGGGGUGGAAGGCAUUUCAGUUGCUCCUACAGCACCCUCAGUAAAUCACCUUCUGUUUGCUGAUGAUACUCUCUUGUUUUUUGAUGCUACUAGUGUCAUGGCAGGGAGGGUGAGGGACAUCUUGACAAUUUAUUGUAAUGCCUCAGGGCAACUGAUAAAUACCGAAAAGUCGUCUAUCUAUUUCAGUAAGGGGGUUCCGGAGCAAGUUAGGGAUGAUCUAAAAAAUAUACUCGAUGUUCACAACGAGGCUCUGUCUGAGAAAUAUUUGGGUCUACCAACUGAUGUUGGAAAAGAAAAAGAGGGAUGUUUUCGAUAUUUGAAGGAUAGAAUCUGGAAACAUAUACAUGGCUGGAUGGAAAAGUGUCUAUCGGCUGGUGGGAAGGAAGUUUUGAUUAAAUCAGUCGCACAGUCUAUUCCAACUUAUUCCAUGGCCUGUUUUAAGUUGCCCCGUGGACUAUGUGAGCACAUCAAUGGGCUACUACGGAAAUUUUGGUGGGGUAGCAAGGGAGGUCAUAGGAAGCCUGCGUGGGUAUCAUGGAGAACUAUGUGCAAACCUAAACAUAUGGGAGGCAUGGGUUUCCGAGAUAAUGAACUUUUUAACCUUGCUUUACUGGCAAGGCAAGUAUGGAGAUUACUCCAAGAGCCGGAUACCCUAUGCGCUAGAGUUUUAAAGGCUAGAUAUUACCCUGAUAUGAGUGUCCUUCGUGCAACUCUGGGGCCUCACCGUCCCAGGUUUGGCGAUCUCUUUUGGAAGGGAGAGACAUUUUGGAGCUGGGAAUAAUAAGAAGAAUUGGUUCAGGUGCAGAAACACAUAUCUGGAACGACAACUGGUUACCACGUGAUUUUAAGCUGAGACCGAUUUGCCAUGUCACACCUAAUCCGCCGCAAUGGGUCUCAGAGUUGAUUGAUCCGGUUACUCGUUCAUGGAAUAGACAUCUGUUAAAUGAGCAUUUUAUUGCGCCGGAUGUGGACGUAAUCUUGAACAUCCCCUUGAGCACGAGGGUGCAGCCAGACUUUUGGGCAUGGCACUACGAGCAGAGGGGCUCUUUCUCUGUUCGAUCGGCAUACAGGAUGAUAAGUAGCAUUAAACACCAAAGAGAAGAUUGGUUGGAGCAUAGGGCGGGACAUUCAAAUUUGGUACAAGAAAGGCAGUCCUGGUCGCGCUUAUGGAAAACUAAAAUACCUUCCAAGGUAAGGGUUUUCGUUUGGAGACUUUCGCAUAUGUCGCUGCCCAUAGGUUCAACGAGACACCAACGCAAGAUGGCUACCACCCCGGCAUGCUCUAUAUGUGGUGCAGAAAAUGACUCCUGGAGGCAUUCCCUUUUUGAUUGUCGGAUGGCACGCUGUGUUUGGGCUUUGGGAGACGAGGAGAUUGUCGAGGUUAUGCUAUCCAAUAGAACGGAUGAUGCAUGGUUGUGGUUAUUCUGGUUGUUUGAAACUUUGAACCAGCAAGACCUAGCAAAAGUACUCAUAUCAAUGUGGGCUAUUUGGUGGGCGAGGAGAAGAGCCAUACAUGAUGAUGAAUUUCAAAGCCCUUUGUCUACUUUCAGCUUCAUAAAUCGAUAUUUGGAGGAUCUGAACAUAGCUGCAUCUAUGAAGCCAAUGGAUAACACCACAAGUACAGAGAAUCGGGUUCAUAGAUGGAUUGCACCAGGAAAUGAUGAGGUAAAGAUUAAUGUUGAUGGGGCUAUAUCUCGCAAUGGUAGGAUGGGAGCAGCCACGGCGAUCUGCAGGGACAAAGACGGUCACUAUCUUGGCGCGUCAGCGGUCAGCAUUGAUGGCCUGGUGGAUGCAGCGAGCCUCGAAGCUCGUGCUUGCAGCGAGAUGCUUGCUCUGGCGAGAGACCUGAACAUCACACAUGCGAGAGACCUGAACACAAGGAUUUAAACGGAAGAAAUUUUUCUUCUUACUCGCUGUUCUAGAUGAAAUAAAGGAGUCGAUGAAUGACUUUGUAAAAAUUAGUUUUCGUUAUGAGUGUAGGGAAGCAAAUAUGGAAGCUCACGCCAUUGCUAAGGCGGCUUCAGCGUUUCCCUCUGGUCGCUGUCUGUGGCUAGGGACCUUGCCAGACAUUGCUUGUAUUGCUCCGGCUUUGAACUUUUGAAUAAAGUCCCUAGUUACCCUCAAAAAGAAAAUUAGUGCAAUCGUGGCUUGUUUCCAGGCUUGUAUUAACACAUCAUUUCGCUUUUAAAAUUUCUAUUGCUAAUGGCAUUUCAGUUUUGUAAUGAGCUCUUUGUCUCUUUCGAGUUUUAGCAAAAUACAUGGCGGUGAUAACUUUUGACUUGCAAGAUACAAUGUUGAUUUACUAUAUAUGCCCGCACAGCUUGUUGCAUGCCCGCAAGAUACAAUGUUCUGUUCUUCUUUUCAGCCUUGCCUGUGUACAAUUUCUUCUUGAUAUUCUUCAGUUUUAAACUGUACAGUACAUGGUAAAAUGGAAUUGGGAUGGUUAUGUCCUGGUUGUCAUGAGAAUAUGUUACUGCUGCUUUUGUUAUUUAUCGCCUUCCCUGUGUACAGUUUAUCCCUGGUAUGCUUCCCUGUUACUACUAUAUCAUCAUGGCAAAACUAACAUCUCAUUGUGCUCUUUUUCAUUUCAUAAGUCAGCCUCUGGCCAUGGUGGAUCUGGAGACGCCGCUGGUGCAACCAAAGAGGAAGAAGGUUCUGGUGGACUACCUGCUACGGUUUGUUUCAGCUCGUGCAGUUAGGAGGUGGAUGCCCGCACGGAUCCGGUGUCUCCGACCUUGGCAUCCACAAGGAGGAGCGGCGACAAUUACAUACCCAACCAUGGGGAAGCAGCACUUCAUGGUUGAGCCUCCCUCUACCUCUCUCAUGUUCCCUGAUUUUGCUGCUGCUCUAAAUUCACUUUCACUUGACUGAAUCUAGUGCUACUUCUGUCAGUCCCUAGUCCCUAGUGCUACUAGUCCCUAGUGCUACUGCUCUAAAUUCACUUGCAUGUUUGACUAAAUUCACUUGGUAUUGCACUGCUUGCCAAAUUGAGUUACUUUCUCGCUGCCAUAAAAAGUCAGUACUCCCUAUUGUUGAAUCAGUAUUUACAUGCUUGCAAAUAUUGGUCUGAAUCUGCGAUGCUCCCUAAAUUUGACUAAAUCUCAUGGAGUAGAUUUCAUUUUACCAAUUGGUCUGAAUGUAUUUAUAUGCUUUACUGAAUUUUGCUUGGUGCUGUCGCCGUCGGACUCUCAUGCUGAAUCAGUUGGACAGUGCAUUCUUUGCCAGUUCAUUUUACCAAUUCAUGCUGAAUUGUUGUUUAGUUGUAAUUCCUUUUACUGUCCCAUGCACAAGUGAUAUUCAUGUCCAGCCAAAUGAUAUCUUGUGCUUUCCAAAGUGAUAUGUACCCAACUGCUUAUAUACGUAUUUUGUUCUUAACUGUAGAUUUCCUCUCACAGUAGCUCCAUGCAAAAGAAGGUUGAAAGGAGGAGAGUUUGUGACUUCUAUGGAAGGACUGAAGGAGGACCAUGUUGAAGAAGGUCGACAGAAGAAGUAGAGCUUGUAAUACUGUCAUUGCCAUUGUAUUUGUGUUGUAUGAUGUAUCCGCGUUUACCCACAAAAAAUUGUAUUCACGUUGUAAUACUGUGAUUGCCAUUCUGGCUACUAUUUCAAGCAGUGUAUUUUGC